UAUUUAGGUAAUAUUAAAUAUGUGUUUUUGCGUGGGGAUUAUUUUAUCUUAAAGAUAAUAUGGUUUUUAUUUGUAGUUUUUUAUUUUGGAUAUUACAUUGCUGUAGAUCCAGUUAAUUUACUUAAGACUGUUUUAAGUUGUGCCAGCAAACGCGGUUAUACAUCUGGUCUAAGUUAAUUUUUUCGGUUAAUAUUAAUUUUUUUUGUUGAAUAUUUUUUAUAUAUAAUUAGGUGAAAUUUUUAUAUAUUAUAUAUUAUUUUGGUUAAAGAUUAUAUGAAAUUUGGGAGUUAAACUAGGAUUAGAUACCCUAUUAUUCCAAAUGUAAAGGUUUUACCAUAGUAUUAAUAGUUAUGAUCUUUAAAUUAAAAGAAUUUGGCGGUAAUCUAGUCUUUUCAGAGGAACCUGUCCUUUAAUCGAUAAUCCACGUUUUAUUUAACUUUAAUUUUGUUUGUAUAUCUCUGUCAUUGAAUGUUUUAUUAGAAUAUUUUCUUUAAUUAUUUAUUUAAUUAAUGUCAGGUCAAGGUGCAACUAUAUUAAAGGUUGAGAUGGGUUACAUUUAAUGCUAUUUAUUGGAUUAUUUUUUGGUAAGUGGAAAUAUUAAAAAGGAUUUGAAAGUAAUAUUUAUUAUUUUAUAAAUAUGAUUUUAGCUCUAGAUUAUGCACAUAUCGCCCGUCACUUUCAUUUAUAAGGUGAAAUAAGUCGUAACAAAGUAAUUUUACUGGAAAGUGAAGUUAGAAAUAUA
rnacentral:ncRNA from 1 species